rnacentral:lncRNA from 1 species
UGAUGAGCAACCUUCUUCAUCCUCUGUAAGUACAACACACUCUAACAUAUCUAUUAUUAACUUAUGUAUAUCAUCAUUAAUUGAUCUAUCAGUUAAUGUUUUGCUGUUGCUACUUUGUUUUGGUGCGAAUUAGCUAGAUGAUCAAGUACAUUACUUCCUAAUUAAGUUUACUAAAACGACCAGAUGUCGACUUUGUGUUCUGUUCCAGAUUGAGGCAGUAUAUCUAUAGAUCACUAUAUAACUUUUCUUUUGACCAAAGAAAAAUAUGUAUUAUGACUUCUCUCUUCAACCCUAAUUCUACUUUUUACCUCCAGCUGCUGAUGGUAGGGUUAGGUUGAGACCACAUAUAUAUAUAUAUAUAUAUUUAAUUGUUACCGACUCAUCAUUUUAAUUUAGUGACAGACCACAUAAUAUUCACAAAUCCAGCCCUAGUUACAAAUUUAAUUUUGGAGUAGUCAGCGCAGGAUUGAUGAUGGUAGCCAGACUGAACUGGUACUUGUCUCAUUGUCACAUGAACAGGACGACAUUACCAUUGAGCAAAAGCAGGAGGAGGAGACUUCAAAACAUGAUCAAGACGAUGAAGACGACGAUUCUGAUUACAAGAGGAGGUUAUGGAUGUCUAGGAUCUGUACGAACAGAAACAGCACCAACUGCAACAACAACAACAACAACAACAAGAACAGCAGCAGCAGCAACAACAACAACAACAACAACAACGAUCAUACUCGUCGCGAUCAAGAAGAUGAUGAGCAGAAACUGAAAUACAUAAAGCCGACAAUCUCACCUGAUGGCGAGAAGACAGUUCGUAUCCCCAAGACCAUUGCCGAAGAAGAAAUAAAGAAGUACAGGGACCAUUCUGUAGUUGCGCAGCAGUUAUCCGGGCGUCAAAACAUAACCAUCAUUCUCAACGAAGCUAAUAGGAUAUGGAGUAACAAAAUAGUAGCGGUUGAAGAAGUAGCAACAACAAGAAAUAAAGGAUUGUCAUCGUACAUAUUCACCUUCUCCAGCCAAGACCUCCGUCACUUGGUUGUGGAAGCAUCUCCAUGGUGCAUCGCCAACGCCACUUUCGUGAUGAGGAAAUGGCAGCCGAACGUGCAGCUCUCCGACCUGCUGGACCGGUCGACCAUUCCCGUGUGGGUCCGGCUGGUUGGGGUUCCUGUGGAGUACAUGACCGCGAAAGGGCUGAGCUACGUAGCCAGCGCGCUUGGGAAGCCGGUUUACAUGGACAGAGCUACUGCGAACCGAACUCAGCUUGCAUUUGCCAAAGUUUGUGUGGAGAUGAAAGUGAGGAGAGAGGGGAAUUUGACGAGUACGAUAGCGGUUGCCAUUGGGGGGGAGGAGGAGGAAGAGGAUAAUAAUGAAGGAGAAGUUGUGGUGGUAGUUGUGAGGGUCUUCUACCAAUGGAGGACUUGUAUGUGCUGCAUUAUUAAUCCUUCCCACAAGGCGACGACCAAGACUUGUUCUUCCUAAAUUAAUUAAUUAAAAGAAGACGACUACAUAUAUACAGAAAGAAGACGACUUUCAUCCCAAGAGAGUUAUUACCGAGUCUGCAUGGUUUGUUUUGAGCAUGGACAAUAUUAAAUGGAAUAUGGUAUGUCUUAUCGGGAAAUUUCAUCCCUUUAUUUAGUUUGCUUGGUUAUGAUUUUGUUGGUAUUAAUCAAACCGUAGACUUUUCUGCUUGCAACAGUUGAGUGGUCCCCAGGCUCCAGCCAUGAAAGCCUCGCACAUUUUCCUGUCGGCUUCUUUUGAAAUUUCUGCCUAUUUAGUCUAAGAGUAGUAUAUUUAAAUUUCAUCCUUCCGCGAACAAACUGACUUUAAAUGAGUCAGCAAAAAUAAAUGCUACUUCUAAUUUUUAAAUUAUUUUUUAAUUAGUAAAUAAUAUGCCC